GACGGUGAUGGAAACAUCUAGUAGCUUCUACUACCGCCAAGAGCUCCCUUUGUGUAAUGUGGUCAGCUCAGAGGGAGCAGAAGACGUUCAGCACAAUUUCGUUGAACUAGUAAAUGGAAAUUGGAGCACUUUAAACUAUUUGUGAAUGCAUUUAGAAAAAUGCACUGUUAAUGGUGAAGCUCAUUUGAAAACAUUCUUUUUAAUGUUGUUUACAGUAAGACAAGGUAAUAUGUCUUGUUGGUUAAUUGGUUAAAAUAAGCCGUCAGCCUCUGUAUCAUUUAGACAUGUAAAGCACAAGUGAUAGUGACUCCCGUCUGAUUUAUGAUUUUUUGUUUUACAGCUCAGUCCUCAUCAGCGGAGGAGAACUCUGUCAUCGCUCGUUCGUCACACAAACUUGACAUGGUGACAACACAUUUAGAUUAGCGUGUAUUCAUUGUUUGAAUUGUCUUCAGCACACUAUAGAAAUGUCGUAUUAAACUAAGAUACUUCUACACGGCCAGAUCAGGGUGACACGGUGGUCACUGAGGAGCUCUGCUCACACCACACUAUCAAACAGCCACCACUGCCACCACUCAGUCCUCAAGAUUAUAAACCUGUCUGAUGAGACCUCAAUUAAAGAAAAAUAAAAAGAAAAGUUUAAAACCAAAAUAUGAGAGGGUAGAGCACAAUCAGAGCGGGUAGCUAAUAAAUCACUUCUAUGAGAUCUGACAUUUGAUGUACAGUAUCACCAUGCUGGAAAAGAGAAAGUGGACUGCUGGGUGGUUGCAGGAAUUCUGACAUUCCACACUUUUAAAUGGCCACUUCUCAGCUCUUUGUUUUAUUAUCAUUUGACUGACACCCUGAUCUAAGGUGACUUACAACAUUUCAGAUACAAUACCUUUUUUUUUUUUCCUCAGGCAGGUGAAGUGACUUGCUCAGGUCACACAGUGGUAUCAGUAGUGGCAUUUGAACCCACAGCCUCAGGGUUUGAAGUCCAAAGACUAAACCGCUGCGCCAUCAGCAGACAGACGGAGUGCCAACCACUGAGUCUGAGCUGAUGGCCAGGAUGCAGGACGUUUGAUUUUUUCACUGUGAUGUGUUGAUCUGUGAUUUUAAUUCUUUCUAUUGCUUGUUACCCUCACCAUAAGGCCAGACCACCUCACUUACCUCCUCUGGUGGUCCUGUUUCAAGUUUAUUACAUAUUCUUUAAGUUCUCACCUUAUCCAUAUGAUGGAGCCCACCAAUCCAUCACAAGACCCUGACCUUGGCCUCUUGUACCCCAUUCUUCUUCUUUCUCUCACCACUCAGCACUCGUGUCCACAAGUAAAGAUCGGAUGGUUGGCUGACCGGUAAAUUAUAAUCUUCAUCAGAGAAUACAGCUGGUAAGACAUUCACAAAACAGAGACUCCAUGUGGCAUAUGGUCACCACUGACGCUGAUGUUCGCAAAGCACAACUGGGCUGAAGUUACAAACUCCCAUGAGCCCUCAAAUAUGUGGAAGAACAAAGAGCUGCUCCAGCGUUAUGGGCCGGAUGGACUCCACGCUGCUUCUAAUGAGUUUGAUUUUCAGUUAUUGACGGUGUCUCCAUGUCACUACUCUGACUUGUGUGUCCCAGGGAGGCUGAGGUAGGCUGUCACUCAAUAAUUGGGACAUUUCCUCCACUCCUGCUGCCUGGACACUGAGAAGUCUUUGUCACUGUGGCCACCUUUUUGUCCUGCUGAUCCUACUCUGUCAAGUCCAUGAAUCCCAAGGCCCUGCAGGUAACAUUGUAUGGAAGGCCUCUAUUUUCACCAUGACAGCUUCUUGUGCCCCUGAUGUCCACCAUGACAGGUAGCAGCAGAUGUGUGGUCACAACUGAGAUGUUGACCAGGCACAGUCAGACUCCAUGUCCUUCACACUCAGCCCGCCCUGAACAGAGCCACCUGCUGGUCAUUCCCAAUACAACAUCACUGCCUGUCUGGUCUGUGCAGCUCAGUGCUGAGUCUGUAAUGAAAGUUUACAAGUGAGUGAACUCCCACUUUGGGGUCAGGGAGCCGAAAGUACUUUAAUAUCUAAAAAUAGAGACCUCGCUGAAAUGAGAAACUGACACUCAGAGGGCCUUCUGUGUGUGGACUGGAAAGUCUCAUCUAAGGCUCUGGACAGUCGUCAGAGAGACAUUAAAGUUUUAUCAUCAAUGAGGAUCAGACUGCCUGUGUUCCUAACUGCACCUUUUACUGUAACAUUACGUAGAGUGAGGGGUGAAUACGUCUGACAAGAG